UACGGGGGGGGCAAGCGUUGUUCGGAAUUACUGGGCGUAAAGGGUUCGUAGGUGGCCAACUCAGUCAGACGUGAAAUCCCUCAGCUCAACUGGGGAACUGCGUCUGAUACUAGAUGGCUUGAGUGCAGGAGAGGAACGCGGAAUUCCAGGUGUAGCGAUGAAAUGCGUAGAUAUCUGGAGGAACACCGGUGGCGAAGGCGGCGUUCUGGACUGCAACUGACACUGAGGAACGAAAGCCAGGGGAGCAAACGGG
rnacentral:rRNA from 1 species